UAGGGAAUCUUCGGCAAUGGACGGAAGUCUGACCGAGCAACGCCGCGUGAGUGAAGAAGGUUUUCGGAUCGUAAAGCCCUGUUGUUAGAGAAGAACGUUGGUAGGAGUGGAAAAUCUACCAAGUGACGGUAACUAACCAGAAAGGGACGGCUAACUACGUGCCAGCAGCCGCGGUAAUACGUAGGUCCCGAGCGUUGUCCGGAUUUAUUGGGCGUAAAGCGAGCGCAGGCGGUUCUUUAAGUCUGAAGUUAAAGGCAGUGGCUUAACCAUUGUACGCUUUGGGAACUGGAGGAGUUGGGUGCAGGAGGGGGGAGUGGAAUUCCAUGUGUAGCGGUGAAAUGCGUAGGUAUAUGGAGGGACACCGGUGGCGAAAGCGGCUCUCUGGGCUGUAACUGACGCUGAGGCUCGAAAGCGUGGGGAGCAAACAGG
rnacentral:rRNA from 1 species